rnacentral:rRNA from 1 species
ACAGCAGUCGCCGCGGUAAUACGAAGGGGGCUAGCGUUGUUCGGAUUUACUGGGCGUAAAGCGCACGCAGGCGGUCUGUCAAGUCAGAUGUGAAAUCCCCGGGCUUAACCUGGGAACUGCAUUUGAAACUGGCAGGCUAGAGUCUUGUAGAGGGGGGUAGAAUUCCAGGUGUAGCGGUGAAAUGCGUAGAGAUCUGGAGGAAUACCGGUGGCGAAGGCGGCCCCCUGGACAAAGACUGACGCUCAGGUGCGAAAGCGUGGGGAGCAAACAGGAUUAGAUACCCCAGUAGUCCCUGUCUCUUAUAC